GUUGUUGCUCAGUGGUAGAGCACUUGCCUAGCAUGUGUGAGGUACUGGGUUCGAUCCUCAGUACCACA
rnacentral:tRNA from 1 species